rnacentral:rRNA from 1 species
GACGAACGCUGGCGGCGUGCUUAACACAUGCAAGUCGAACGGAAAGGCCCUGAUUUUGUGGGGUGCUCGAGUGGCGAACGGAUGAGUAACAAGUGAGUAACCUGCCCUUGACUUUGGGAUAACUUCUGGUAAAUGGGGUUAAUACCGGAUAGGAGCUCCUGCUGCACGGUGGGGGUUGGAAAGUUUCGGCGGUUGGGGAUGGACUCGCGGCUUAUCAGCUUGUUGGUGGGGUAGUGGCUUACCAAGGCUUUGACGGGUAGCCGGCCUGAGAGGGUGACCGGCCACAUUGGGACUGAGAUACGGCCCAGACUCCUACGGGGGGCAGCAGUGGGGAGUAUUGCACAAUGGGCGGAAGCCUAAUGCGACAACGCCGCGUGCGGGAUGACGGCCUUCGGGUUGUAAACCGCUUUCGCCUGUGACGAAGCGUGAGUGACGGUAAUGGGUAAAGAAGCACCGGCUAACUACGUG